rnacentral:rRNA from 1 species
UGAGUACGAGAUGCUACGGCAUCGAAGCAGUCUAUGUCAUACUUCCAAGAAAAGCUUGCAAUGUCAUAAACAAAUAAUGCCUGUACCAUAACCGACACAGGUGGGUAGGUAGAGUAUACUAAGGGGCGCGAGAUAACUCUCUCUAAGGAACUCGGCAAAAUGACUCCGUAACUUCGGGAGAAGGAGUGCCUUAUUUUUAUAAGGUUGCAAUAACAAGAUCCAAGCAACUGUUUACCAAAAACACAGGUCUCCGCUAAGUCGUAAGACGAUGUAUGGGGGCUGACGCCUGCCCAGUGCCAGAAGGUUAAAGAAGUUGGUUAGCAUUAGCGAAGCUGAUAACUGAAGCCCUGGUGAACGGCGGCCGUAACAAUAACGGUCCUAAGGUAGCGAAAUUCCUUGUCGGGUAAGUUCCGACCCGCACGAAAGGCGUAAUGAUUUGGAUACUGUCUCGGAGAGGGGCUCGGUGAAAUAGACUUGUCUGUGAAGAUGCGGACUACCUGCACCUGGACAGAAAGACCCUAUGAAGCUUUACUGUAACUUGAGAUUGAGAUUGGACUUUAUCUGCGCAGUAUAGGUGGGAGACGUUGAAAAUAUUCUUGCGGGAAUAUUGGAGUCAUCAGUGAGAUACCACUCUUAUAAUGUUAGAUUUCUAACUUUGUAUCAUUAUCUGGUCAAAGAACAGUUUCAGGCGGGCAGUUUGACUGGGGCGGUCGCCUCCCAAACGGUAACGGAGGCGCACAAAGGUUUCCUCUGAACGUGUAGAAAUCGUAUCUAGAGUGUAAAGGCAUAAGGAAGCUUGACUGUGAGACCUACAAGUUGAGCAGGGACGAAAGUCGGUCUUAGUGAUCUGACGGUGCUGAGUGGAAAGGCCGUCACUCAACGGAUAAAAGUUACUCUAAGGAUAACAGGCUGAUCUCCCCCAAGAGUUCACAUCGACGGGGAGGUUUGGCACCUCGAUGUCGGCUCAUCGCAUCCUGGGGCGGUAGUACGUCCCAAGGGUUGGGCUGUUCGCCCAUGAAAGCGGUACGCGAGCUGGGUUCAGAACGUCGUGAGACAGUUCGGUCCAUAUCCGGUGUAGGCGUUAGAAUAUUGAGAGGAGCCUUCUUUAGUACGAGAGGACCGAGAAGGACAUACCUCUGGUGUACCAGUUAUCGUGCCAACGGUAAACGCUGGGUAGCCAUGUAUGGAGAGGAUAACCGCUGAAAGCAUCUAAGUGGGCAGCCCACCUCAAGAUAAGUAUUCCC